rnacentral:rRNA from 1 species
UACGUAGGGGGCAAGCGUUGUCCGGAAUCAUUGGGCGUAAAGAGCGUGUAGGCGGUUCGAUAAGUCUGCUGUGAAAGUCGGGGGCUCAACCCUCGGAUGCCGGUGGAUACUGUCGAGCUAGAGUGCGGAAGAGGCGAGUGGAAUUCCUGGUGUAGCGGUGAAAUGCGCAGAUAUCAGGAGGAACACCAAUUGCGAAGGCAGCUCGCUGGGACGUUACUGACGCUGAGACGCGAAAGCGUGGGGAGCAAACAGG